GAAUCUGCCUGGUAGAGGGGGAUAACUUCCGGAAACAGGCGCUAAUACCUCAUACGUCCUGAGGGAGAAAGUGGGGGAUCUUCGGACCUCCCUCUAUCCAAUGAACCUAGGUCGGAUUAACUAGUUGGUGGGGUAAAGGCCUACCCAGGCGACCAUCCAUAACUGGUCUGAGAGGAUGAUCAACCACACUGGAACUGAGACACAGUCCAGACUCCUACCGGAGGCAGGAAUGGGGAAUAUUGGACAAUGGGCGAAAGCCUGAUCCAUCCAUGCCGCGUGUGUGAAGAAGGUCUUCGGAUUGUAAAGCACUUUAAUUUGGGAGGAAGGGCAGUAAGUUAAUACCUUGCUGUUUUGACGUUACCAACACAAUAAGCACCGGCUAACUUCGUGCCAGCAGCCGCGGUAAUACGAAGGGUGCAAGCGUUAAUCGGAAUUACUGGGCGUAAAGCGCGCGUAGGUGGUUCAGCAAGUUGGAUGUGAAAUCCCCGGGCUCAACCUGGGAACUGCAUCCAAAACUACUGAGCUAGAGUACGGUAGAGGGUGGUGGAAUUUCCUGUGUAGCGGCGAAAUGCGUAGAUAUAGGAAGGAACACCAUGGCGAAGCGACCACCUGGACUGAUACUGACACUGAUGUGCGAAAGCGUGGGGAGCAA
rnacentral:rRNA from 1 species